CUUUUUGGUUCCUAAUUCAUAAACUAUUGGGACCAUAACCCCCAAAAUCAAUCCCAACCGUCCUGUAGUGGUAUUCAACCUUCUUGUGAAAAAAUAUAGAGAUCCAUCCACUUAAACACAAGUUAUUGUCUGUAAACUAGAAAAAUGCUUCUUUUUGGCCCUUUUUUGUCCCAUAUUCCUACAUAUUCGGAAAAAUUAACCCCAAACUGAUUCCUAGCCUUCCUGUGUUAUAUGGAAACUUGUGGUACAAUGUCAGAGAGAUCCAUACAGUUACACACAAGUUAUUGUCUUAAAAUUAGAAAAAUGCUUGUUUUUGGCCC
rnacentral:lncRNA from 1 species